rnacentral:lncRNA from 1 species
AAACUAAGACUUUUAGAUCUAAAGAAUGACAGUAAAGAUCAUCUAUUCCAACCACUUUAUUUUACAGAUGAAUAAACUCAGUGACCAGUGAUUAAAUAACUUGCAUGAAGACGCCGGCUGUGUUGGACCUUAAGCUUCUUUUCAGAAGUUACCUCCAGUGGCUUUGCAUUAUGUCUGGCCCAUGGCUGAUGUUGAUUGAGUGGAUGAGAGACCGCCAAGGACCCUUUCGGAAAUCUGCUAAGGAGGAUGGUCUGUCUUUGACAAGGGAUGAAAUCG